rnacentral:rRNA from 1 species
GAUAAACGCUGGCGGCGUGCAUGAGACAUGCAAGUCGAACGGGCGACCUCGGGCUUGCUCGGGGUCGUUAGUGGCGAACGGCUGAGUAACGCGUGGGUGACCUGCCCGGAAGUGGGGAAUAACUGCCCGAAAGGGUGGCUAAUACCGCAUAUGGCCAUACGUUCGUUCGUAUGACCAAAGCCGCAAGGCGCUUCCGGGGGGGCCUGCGUUCGAUUAGCUAGUUGGGGAGGUAACGGCUCACCAAGGCGACGAUGCGUAGCCGACCUGAGAGGGUGAUCGGCCACACUGGGACUGAGACACGGCCCAGACUCCUACGGGAGGCAGCAGUAGGGAAUCUUCCGCAAUGGACGAAAGUCUGACGGAGCAACGCCGCGUGAGUGAUGAAGGCCUUCGGGUCGUAAAACUCUGUUGUUAGGGAAGAACAAGUAUCGGAGUAACUGCCGGUACCUUGACGGUACCUAACCAGAAAGCCACGGCUAACUACGUGCCAGCCGCCGCAGUAACAC